UAAACUUAUGUUUGUACUUUUAUUGAAAUAAGGUUCAGUUCAGAGUACACAGAAAACAUACAAAAUGCAAAUAGUCCUGUUUUGUUGUUUAUUUUGAGAGUGAGUGCGCGCCUGGGGGAGAAGCAGAGAGAAUCCCAAGCAGGCUCUGCCAGAGCGCAGGCAGGGCUUGAACUCAGAAACCCUGAGGUCAUGACCCCAGCCGAAACCGGGUCCCACCAGGCUCCACAACUGAGCCACCCAGGCGCCCCCCUCCCCUUUUUUUUACUUCCCUGAAAGUAGGUCUAAAGAAGUUACCAAGUUGGUUAGAAAUCGAUCAGGAAAGACCUUAAAAGUUAAAAUGUUUGCUGUAACUUUGGAAUAAAUAGUAUUCUGGCUGCGAAACAAGAAACAAGAGAAGACCUGUCAUCGGGUGAGAGCUGCCGCUGCGGGGCCAGUCCGUGAACCUCAGAGAAGGAUCACAUAGGAAACCGCAGAGAUCUGGACAGAGUCCAAGCCCUGGCGACGUAGUUUACGCCCGGAAGCCAGCCCUAGUCAGUGUUCUCGCUUACCUGAGUAGAUAGGUUUCCUUUAUGCUUCAGCCAGUUUGGGUCCGGUUUUCCGUUACUUGUAACGGGAACAAUUUGAAUGAUGACGAGUACUGUUAACCGCUUUAUGCCCGUGGCUAGAUUCCAAAACGUCUUACAGAUAUGAGCUGCUUGGGACAGUGCCUGCCACUCUCCGUAUCCAUUUUAAGGUGUCUUUCUUGAACUCCAUAAAGUUUUAAGAAAAAUCCCCAUUAAAAAAUAUCCCCCUCCA